AAAGCUGCGCYUGGUGGAUCAUUGGCGAACGGGUGAGUAACACGUGAGCAACCUGCCCUGGACUCUGGGAUAAGCGCUGGAAACGGCGUCUAAUACUGGAUAUGAGCUCUCAUCGCAUGGUGGGGGUUGGAAAGAUUUUUCGGUCUGGGAUGGGCUCGCGGCCUAUCAGCUUGUUGGUGAGGUAAUGGCUCACCAAGGCGUCGACGGGUAKCCGGCCUGAGAGGGUGACCGGCCACACUGGGACUGAGACACGGCCCAGACWCCUACGGGAGGCAGCAUUGGGGAAUAUUGCASAGUGGGCGGAAGCCUGAUGCAGCWUCUCCGCGUGAGGGAUGACGGCCUUGGGGUGGUAA
rnacentral:rRNA from 1 species